CGGGGCCGGGGCCGGGACCGGGGGCGCGGGCGCGGCCGCCUGAGGAAACACGCUCAGAUGAAAAGAAAACAAGUGGGUAAGUCGUCAUUUUUACCAGCUUGGCAAGAAACGAGUGUUACGUCUGGCGCUCUCAGCAUCAAGUCAGGGACUGAAUCAGCAGCUGUUGUGACAGAAGCUUUUUCUGAAUGGAGAUACAGAGACAAAAAGGAAACGGGCCAAGGCGAGGAGGAGGUUCCUCUGAUGCUGCAGCACUUACAUAAAUCAGCUCUGCCCAACCCACAACAUGCUUUUUUUUCUCACUAACGUUGGGAAGGUAAAGCUGAUCUAUCCCAGAGCAGGUUCAUUCAUAAGGCUGUGCUGCCUGCUCAGUCAGAAUCGUCCUCCUGUGGAUGCUGCCAACCAGCUGGCAAAGCAAGUUGAUCAAGGCCUCUCUUGAAGUUGUGCCUCUGGGAAACAACCUGCAUAACCCUCUGGACAAGAUCCCUUUUCCACGUAUCACCUAAACUGUAGACCUUCUGUCUUGUUCAAUUGCUGUUAUUUCCCAGACAUGGCAGAGUCUCCUCACUUGUGCCUCUCUUUACUGAAACACUGACAUGACCCACAGCAGCCACUGAUACAUGAUGAUGAUGAGCUGGCUUAACAAGUCGCAUAAGUACUCCGCUCUGUAACCCUUGACAAUGAGGGGUCAGACAUCUCAGCUUUCCUUUUAGAGCGGCUAAUGCCCCCGAUGUGGGGGAAAUAAAGGAAAUCACUUCUGAGCUGAGACCAAGCAAGGAAUAUUUCAGCCAUAAAGGAAUUAGUCUGAGAAAGUUCCAAGCAGCUGAAAAAGUGGAAUAGAAGAGAAACUGCAUUUUCAUCCUAGCUGUGUUAUCAGGAGCAUUUGCUCUAAUCACCGAUAACAACAAGAACCUCUGUAACCUCCUCCCUGCAUUCUGAUGUCUGGUUUGGUGAUGUGAUCAAAGGCUGGGAAGGAAGUGUGUUUGGUAUGAAAGGAGCAAUUAUUCAGUGACCCUGACGAAGCAGAGACUUGAAACUUCACCUACAUUAUAUGUAUAUACAGUUCAUAAUCAGCUGUGUAUUUGCUCAGAUGCCUGCCACAGAUAACAGCAGGCUCUCUAAUCGCAGUUGGUGCUCCUGUUAAAUGUAGAAUGUCAUGGGCAUCUAUCACCUAUUCAGGAGAGAUGACAGGACCUGCGGUAUCAAGGCAAACCUUGGUUCAAGUUUUCACUCUUCUGCUCCCUGUGUAGGAAUCUACGUAGUAAGAGAAAGGGUGUCUGAGGUGCCGCCUAGCCAUGUAUCCUGCCUGAGACAGUGCCUGGCACAAGAUGUCUACAAGAAAAGUUUUAGGACGCCAGAGUAUAAAAUAAUCGGUGCUUACACGAGGUAUCACCUGGUGCAUCCAUACAUUAUCAGCUGGCUUAACCCUGGAAACAUGAGGCCUUUGUAUCGCUUCCAGAACACUUGUUAGUACAAAUGGCUAUACUCUGGCUAUUCCUAUUGUUUGUAUAAAUGUCAAAUCCCCCUUUUUUUAUUCUUGGCUGGAGCACGCUGUAGUUGGAUGGAUCCGCACAGAUGGAUCCAUUUGCCACUUUGCAAUAGAGCGUCUUCCAGCCUCAAACACAUAACACUGACAUUUUUUUUUUCCGUGCUCUGCUUCCUGGGUUAUGAAUGGAGGGAUCAGCUCUUUUGCUAUGGCAAUAGACGGUCCUACUGUGUGUUUCUACAUAAAAGAAGUGGUUGGGUUGUCUAGUGUGCCUGUUGGACAGGCAGUCUGAUGUCGGAGGUGUCCUUAUUGAUGGCUGAAUAAACAGGAUCUGGAUCUAUAGCUUGCAGGAGUUUUGUCUAUAUAAAAAUGGCAAAAGCAGGCCUUCCGGUCAACACAUGAAUUUCUCCUGCUAUGUCAGAUAGAAAUCAGGAUUUUUGGAGGUAAGUGCCUUGCUAGGGGGAAGGACAGAAGGUGGAACCUGAAGCUUUUAGUGACAGGUCAGUGAGACAGUUGGACUUGUGCUGAGGCAGGCUGUGAUGACAGCUGCAGGACUCUCGUGACAAGGAGAGGGAUGAAAACAAGCAGGGAAGAGAGUUAAUAGACUCCAGAGCAAAGUGCAGGAGAGCAACAGUGUCAGGAGAGCGUCAGUGAAAAGGAGAAGAAAAAAAGCAAGAGAGGAGAGACAGGCUUUCAGGUCUGUCUGCAAACACGCAUGUGACCUGGUGCCUGACCUGCUUUAGGGUUAAAUACACAAAUGGAACUGGUUUUUGUGUUGUUUCCCCCCCUCCCUUUCCUCUGAGGAGUAAUUCUUCUUAACAGAGUAGUCAGUCAGUGCCUGCAAUGGAUAAAGGGAGCCUGUGCAUGGUACUAGUAGCAGUGAUGCCCUGGCCUAUCGGGAUGUGGGGCCACGGUCAUAAUGAGCAGGAGAAGGGACUUUCGGUCGUCUGUGCCUUCCUGCUAGCUUGGCUUUUUGGCAGGACAGCAUGACAUCAUGUGCCUUGGGACUUCAGGAGCGCGGGAAAGGAGAAGUCGUUGCAAUUAUUAUUUCUCAUGUGCAAACUUGGGCUGGCAUAAAUGUAGAGAGACAGACCAGGCUCGUCUGGAAGGAGAGUUUCUCCUGUGAGUAGAAAGGACCACUGCUCCGUUGUCUCAAGUCAUAAUGUCAGUCACCCACUGACCCUUUUUCUAGAGGAAGCAGUGGCAGUGUGUUCAGGACUGUGUUAUUAAUCUGUCCCUGGCCCCUGACAGCAUUGCCUAGGAAGCUGUUCAUGUUAUCUCUCCCAUCACAUCAGCACCUGCCCGGCGUAAAACCUGGCUGGAAGCCAGUGACUGGCACUGCGGUUUGCAGUGACAAAGUGCCUGAAAAUGUCCUUUCGUGCUUUACCCAACACGCCUGCACAGCUAAAUUUUGUUCUGUAGUUGCUGUUGUGCGAAAUCACUCACUUUUAAGGCUCCAGCAGGAAUUGGCUCCCAGACUAUAUGCCAUGUUAGGAGCUUUGCGAGCAGUUCCUUUGUAUGACUUUUACAAAAAGCGGGGAGGAGGGAGGAAGCGUACCUCAAGUCUGUGGAUCUUGGAGGCCGUGGCAGAUCAAGCAAAUCCCUGCUGGCUCUGCAGCUCUCGGGAGCUCUCGGAGGGCUGGUGUGCAGCUGGCGGACCCUCUUGCUCUGUGGAACCUCAGGAGCGGAGAAACCCCAUACGUCCCAGCAGCAGCAAGCUGGCGAAAUGGCACCGAAAGGCAUUCUGUGUGUAUUAAAAUAAUCCUCCCCAGAUGUAAGGUGGGGAUGGGCGCUGCACUGACCUCUGCAAGGCCGGUGUGCGUAGAUGUCCUCUAGGCUCGUCAUCACUCAGAACCGGGGAGCAACAGCAACCAAGGGGAGCAGAAGAGGAGAUGUUAGGCUCCUCCUAGGAAGAAAAGCAGGGGAGCUGGGCCAUCCUUGAAUCCUUGAUGGGUCAUCCUUGAUGGGAGAGGGUUUGACUCACAGGCUUCCUUCAGUUUUCCACUUGGCAAGGAGGUGACAGGAGCAAAGUGAGUGUAAGCAUGCAGCAGUGGGGCUGCUGGCCAUGGAAAGGACUCUGCAGUCCUCCUGGCUCUCUAGCUCCUGCCCUGCCUGUUUUCUGUGAUGGCUGGUGUUAUCACACAAGGUCCCCUUACAUUUUGGCUUGGGUGAAGCAGUUAUGGUUGAAAGAUGCUUUGUUUUCUCGCUCAGUGUGAGACUGAGAUGAAGUAGGGGAGCAGGGAGAGCUCUCCUUCCCACUGAUGCUGCAGUAUGGGUACUCUGCGAGAAGAGGCAGAAGUGGGGCUGGUAGAAGGUGGGUCUAGGCUGAGCUUCCAGAGAUGGCAGCAGCUGGAAAGCUCCUUGAGAAAGCAGCAGCCACCUUCAUCUUCAUUUCUACCCAAUGCAGUUAAAAUCCUCUGUAUCGUGCUCAACACUGUUCUGCGUCUCUUUUCUUGAAGGUCAGGAGCAAGAUCUCAUUCCUGCAUGGAGCCUUGCCCUUGACUUCAGGGAGGGCAGGGUCAGGCCCUUGGCCUGCAUGUUUAUCACCCAGGCAAGUGUUGAAUUGAAAAGCUGGCGUGCACUGUAGCAAACAUCUGAGGGUCUGAAAGACUGAAUGCAGAGUGCUGCCUCAGCCUUUCAUCUCUAGAGAUGGCUUAACAACCUGUUCAAGGUCUGUGCUCCUUGCAAAAAACAUAACACCAGCAAGUCUCACCACAUCUGACACCAUGGGCAGCCUUUGUUCAGAGCAACCGCGCUAAGGACUAAAUUAAUCACAGAGGCUCUGACUGAUGCUGCCCUUUUCUUAGAAAUGGGGACUCAGUCAAAUCCAGGAUAGAGAAGACGGAGAGGUGGGUUGAGAAGAGCUUGCCUGGUUUCUGGCUCGGCCAUAUCCAUUCUGCAGCUGGACAGAGGACCUCAGCACUGUAAGUCCUGCUUGCUUUCCCUACUGUUAUGUUCCUCACAAAACGUAACUAUAUUUCACCUAUUUUUUGUGAGCCUAGAAACAGCCAGCACGGGUCCCAUUCUGACCGGGCAAGAUGACAAACUUGGGUUACCACAUGACCCUGGGCUCUUUUUAUUUGCUGUAAACCUCUUAUACAAAGGUGGUGGGAUUCUUUUUCAUUUGCCGUGUUGCAGUGUGGAAGCAAUCACUAUAAAUUUAAAUGGAGCACUGCUAGGAGCACAUUUACCUUUUAUACAGUAAUUGUGAGAGAGUGCCACUGCCUGAAUGCUAUUAGGGUUAUUCAUACCUUCUCCAAUUUCACUGUAAAACCUUAGGCUGCAAGAGGUACUGUAAAGGGUAUGAUUAUUCUAAAAGGGUAAGUAGUGGUAAGUGUUACAGACCAGUGCUACCACAACAAAUGCAAUCAUUCUGAUUAGCUGGGAAUAGGUGAAGUUGAGGCGUGUGAUCUGGCAGACAAAAGUAGCACAGUUGCUUGUUUUGGUCCGUCGGUGGAAUGGCCCUAUCUCUUUCCUGUCUGGAUCUGCAAUGACUUGGUUGCUGAAGUUGUUGUUGUUACGAAUGAGCCGAGUCCAUGGCAAAACAUGUGGAUGCGAGCAUCCAAACUCAAUACCCCACUGGGGAGCUGGUACCUCUAGAGUAACUUAGCAUAGACCCGAGAUUGCUUCCCCAAACCUUUUCUUCACUGUAAGGGUGGCCAAAAUUUGGAAUGGGCUUCCAAGGGAGGUGGUGCUCUCCCCUACCCUAGGGGUCUUUAAGAGAAGGCUGGACAGGCAUCUGGCUGGGGUCAUUUGACCCCAGCACUCUUUCCUGCCCAGGACAGGGGGUCGGACUUGAUGAUCUGUUGAGGUCCUUCCCUUCAAAGCAUCUAUGAAUCUAUGAAUCCCACCUUCCAAGGUCCCUCAUCAUAUCUUGACAAGGACUAGUUGGAUUCACAUCAGUAAUUAUAUUAUAUUGGAUUUUAUGCAGGGUCUUAACAUCUAUAGCAGUCCUGUCACAUGUUCUUGGUGUGCUGUCUGGUUACAUUCCCCAUUAGGUGCAAAAGGUAUCACCCAUAGAGCUGUAUGAAGCUCACACCCUUCCACCGCGGUUCAGACUAUGCACUUCUGAAGACUUGAAAGUAUAACAGAAAGGGGCCCAGGCAGGACAUUUUCUUCCCCCCAAAAACCCCAACAAAACCAAACCGGGGACUAGAGGCUUAAUUUCUGAAAUGGAACCGUGCAGUUCUGAACAGUUUUACAGUGAUUCAUCAAGAAGGUAAAUGCCUAACUUGGAUCCUGGACACCCAGAGGUUUAAGGGAUAAAAAACCAGGGAUUCAUCUUGAGUUGGAAAAAGAUUGAAAUUAGGUUGGGCCUAACUUCCAUGAGUUAGCCAUGCUUGAGCACUUGUCCUUGGCUAAACAGAUGUUGUGCUGUUCAAAACAGAGAGAAUACCUGACAUGCGUUACUUAUCUCACCAUAACAUCCCAGCAGAAACAAGGCACGGGCAAUUUUUUACCGUGAUGUUUUUGGGCAGGGACAACACUAUAACCAAGUUUUAGGUUUGACCUUGCCUAUCUAUAUUGCUGUAAAAACUACAGAGCCUUGUCUCCAUCAGGACUCUGCAGUGAGACAGGUAACUGCAAAGUUAUCUCACUGCAACAACACACCUCUUUUUGGCAACGAAAGGCUGUUCAAAGGAUGUCGUUGAGCGUUGUGCUGCAAGACAUCUUCAGAAAAGGUAAGAAAUAUAGUCAUGUUACUUCCCUUCCUUCAGCCUCUUACCAAACAAUUUUCAGGCUAGGAUUGAAUCUGAGUGUAACGAUAACAUCCAGAGACACUUACAAAUGUACUAAAUGAAAAAUAAAAUAUGCAGAUGAAGAGAUGGAAAAAGAAUGAAAGAGGUGAACUAGCAACCAAAUUUACUAUUUUCACAGUAAGGCCAAAUGAAUUUGACAUUUCCUUAUAAUGCCACUUUUCAAAGUAAAGUAAAAAUCAUUCCUCAUUUCUGUAUUUUUGUUUGUGAAUAUUUGCUUGUGGCUCUCAGGAAAACUCCUGUGAGCUAAUUAUGCUUAAACAAAUACAUGAGAGCAGAUUCUCUCCUCACUUUCAUCUGUACAACUCAGUUGACUUUAGUGGGGGUCUACAGUGCUGAUGUUACCAUUGAAUUUUGACUAAUUUACAUGAAAACAUGUUAGCGCUUAGUAAAAGAUAGGGCUGCUCUGUGUGUGUGUGUGUGUGUGUGUGUGUGUGUGUGUGUGUACACAGCAGCUGUAUCUUUAACAUAUAUAAAAGAUCAGAAUGUGUGUGUGUGUGUGUGUGUGUGUACACAGCAGCUCUAUCUUUAACAUAUAUAAAAGAUCAGAAUGUGUGUGUGUGUGUGUGUACACAGCAGCUCUAUCUUUAACAUAUAUAAAAGAUCAGAAUGUGUGUGUGUGUGUGUGUGUGUGUACACAGCAGCUCUAUCUUUAACAUAUAUAAAAGAUCAGAAUGUGUGUGUGUGUGUGUGUGUGUAUGUACACAGCAGCUCUAUCUUUAACAUAUAUAAAAGAUCAGAAUGUGUGUGUGUGUGUGUGUGUAUGUACACAGCAGCUCUAUCUUUAACAUAUAUAAAAGAUCAGAAUGUGUGUGUGUGUGUGUGUGUGUAUGUACACAGCAGCUCUAUCUUUAACAUAUAUAAAAGAUCAGAAUGUGUGUGUGUGUGUGUGUGUGUAUGUACACAGCAGCUCUAUCUUUAACAUAUAUAAAAGAUCAGAAUGUGUGUGUGUGUACACAGCAGCUCUAUCUUUAACAUAUAUAAAAGAUCAGAAUGUGUGUGUGUGUGUGUGUACACAGCAGCUCUAUCUUUAACAUAUAUAAAAGAUCAGAACGUGUGUGUGUGUGUGUGUGUGUGUGUGUGUGUAAAUAAAAGAUCAGGACACAACAUGACUAGUGCCCUAAUGGCAGGACUAGGAGGAGUGGCCUCAAGCUGCAGCAGGGGAAACUUAAACUGGAGAUUAGGAGGAACUUUCUGACUCUGAGGACGGUCAGGCAUUGGAACAGGUUACCUAGAGAAGGGAUCUUCAUGCUUUGAAACUUUCAAAAGCAGGUGAAAUGUUUGGCUGGAAUGGUUCAAUCAGGGAUGAUCCUUCCUUGAACAGGGAUCUGGACUAGGUGACCUUGUGAGGUCCUUUCCAGCCCUACUUUCCUAUGACCCUAUGUGAUGCCUCUGCUGUUUGAAAGAAAGGACUGGAGUUGCCAGCAUCUUUGGCUUUCAGUUAUUUCUUCUUUUCCUUGCCUUUUGUCCUAAUGUAUUUUGUAUGAUGUGUCAGCAUUGACUGUUUGGUGAAAAAUGCAUGAUAUUUAUGAGAUCAUGUCAUUUCAUUAGACACUUUUGAUUUCAACAGGUAAAUCUGUAAUUUUGUGUUUGAUAUUUAAAAACGUGUUCAUUUCAACGGUAACUGUGAAAGUAUGGUUGUGGGCCCUUAAACAAUAUGCAGCCAUGGAGGGAAAUGGUCUACAAAUUUGAAAUGUGGGAUGAAACCUAAAAAGUAGGUAGAGAGGUUUGUAAAAUCUUUAAAGAAGUUGACCCAUCUCUAGUAUUAAAAUUUCCUUAUGUUUGUGUCAACGAUAGUACUUUAAGAUAAUUUGAGUUGUCAGAUGUAAGUUGUAUGUUAGUACUGUUUGCUCACUACAUAUACAAGGAAACAAACACAUAGGAAUAAUCUAAUAAAUUGACUGGGAAGGUGUUUUGUAAAUCUAAUGUUCAUUGAAAAGAAAUCUUCCAGAGGUUCCAGAUAGUGAUUUACAUCCUUUAUUAUUAAGCUUUCUUUAAAGUAUAUAUGACAUAUGGGUGCAUCUACACAUGCCCAUUAAUGCAUAGAUUGUAGGCUGGAAGGGAUCUCAGAAGAUCAUCAUCUCCAGCCCCCUGGCACCAAGCAGGAAAGACAACGGAUACUGGAAGAUAUAUUGCUUCUCCCUACGUCACUGGGGGGAAGAUAUACAUAGUUGGUGACAAUAGCUUAUGUUAGAAACAUUCUCACUGUAUGCAGUAGUAUCUGAUAUUGUUUGUUGAAAAUAAAUAAUGAGUUUAAAAUUGA